GUCACCGCGAGGUGGGGUCUGAAGAAAGCCGGAGUGCAAAGCUGUGAGCCGACCUGUCUGCGUGCAACGCACAGGCAGGCGAACAGAAAUAGCAUAUAAGGCCCAGUCUCCGGUUAAGUUAGCGCAACAUAACAAAGCCCAGGGUUCUGGAGAUAGGGAACCCCGGAGCACUACCUUUAGAGCACAGACCUUGCC
rfam:Desulfuromonadales bacterium C00003096 3datasets_contig_44890, whole genome shotgun sequence.